rnacentral:rRNA from 1 species
UUUCGGAUCGCGGGGACGCCGGCGGUUCGCCGCCGGUGUCAUUGUGAGAAGUUCAUUAAACCUUAUCAUUUAGAGGAAGGAGAAGUCGUAACAAGGUUUCCGUAGGUGAACCUGCGGAAGGAUCAUUG